AUCUGUCAGCCACAUCUGAUCGGUGUUUUCUCCUGGUUUUUAGAAGACAUCCCCCACAGCCAAAGGGUCAGACCAGAGCCCAACCAGGAACCUAGAACAAGCUGGCCAGUGGAGGCAGCAGGAGUGGCCACAGUUCACACCCCCCACCCUGGGAGGACACUGGGAAACCACGUGGAGCUCUGAAGAGGAGACCCACAAGUUCAGAGAAAAGGUUCUUGAAGGAAGUGAAAAGUGCUACUCCACUGAACACACCCAACAGCUGUAUUGCUGAUAUGGAGAAAGUUUGAGUGGUCUGCAUAGAGGAUGAAACCAGCCACAACAUUCCCUUAAGCCAAGACCUAAUCCAGAGCAAGGUCCCAACUCUUCAAUUCUGUGAAGGCUGAAAGAGGUGGGGAAGCUGCAGAAGAAAAGUUGGAAGCUAGCAGAGGCUGGUUCAUGAGGCUUAAGGAAAGAAGCCAUCUCCAUAACAUAAAAGUGCAAGUGCCAGAAACCAUGUGAACAGUGAGCAAGGAAGGCCCGCACCAUCACCAUCAGCAGACAACGGUUUCAUAACGAAUUCUACAAAUUUGACUUCUUGCCUGCCUCUAAUUCUUUAAUGGAAUACUAGGAGAAAAUUAACAGAGUCUGAUGACCUCAGAGGACUUUUGAGGGGAAAGCUAAGUCCAUGCUGGACUGAGUCAGCUACAUAGAAAAUGAAACUUCAGUUUGCCCACAGCCUGCUGCUUUCAAGGUUCUUGUUUGCUACGCGUGUGCUCGAUCCACCCAUCCCUCUUAGCUGAUGUUUGCUGCUGCUGUUGCUGCAGAAUGGGAACUUUGAAGCCCUGCUUCCUAUAAUAAGCU